GAUGAACGCUGGCGGCGUGCCUAACACAUGCAAGUCGAGCGAACAGACGUGGCGCUUGCUGCUGUGACGUUAGCACCGGACGGGGGAGUCACACGUGGAUAACCUCCCUAUAAGACUGGGACAACUUCGGGAAAUCGGCGCUAACACCGGAUAAUAUAUUGAACUGCAUGGUUCAUUAGUGCAAGACGGUUUUGCUGUCACUUAUAGACUGAUACGCGCCGCAUCAGCUAGUUGUCGAGGGAAUCGGUUACCCAGGCAACGACGCGUAGACGACCCGAAGGGGGGAACGGCCACACGGGAAGUGAGACAGGGUCCAGACUCCUGCGGUGAGCAGCAGCAGGGAAUCUUCCGCAAUGGAGGAGAGCCUAACGGAGCAACGCCGCGUGAGGGAUGAUGGUGUUCGGAUGGGAGAACGCUGUUAUUAGUGAGGAACAAAUGUGUAAUUAACGGUGCACAUCAUGACGGUACCUGAAGAGGAAGCCACGGCUAACUACGUG
rnacentral:rRNA from 1 species